AACGUAGGACGCAAGCGUUAUCCGGAGUUACUGGGCGUAAAGCGCGGGCAGGCGGUUCUGCCAGUCUGAUGUGAAAUCUCCUCGCUCAACGGGGAGCAGCCAUUGGAAACUACAGAACUGGAGUCUGGCAGAGGUAGGCGGAAUUCCGGGUGGAGUGGUGAAAUGCGUAGAGAUCCGGAGGAACACCAGAGGCGAAGGCGGCCUACUGGGCCAGUACUGACGCUGAGCCGCGAAAGCCAGGGGAGCGAACGGG
rnacentral:rRNA from 1 species